AGCAGCAGUCGGGGGCGUCAGGCGCGCGGACGACGGCAGUGCCGGAGCGCGGGAAACUGCGGCUGCGCACCUUGAGGUGCGCGGUCAAAAUCUGGCCCCGUGAGACUGCGGGACUCGUUCCGUCGCGAGGUCUUGGAGUUAAGUCAACAGGAGAAGAGUCAAGUGAGGUCACAGAUGAGGUAAGUGAAGCUUCUGAGGAUUUUCCUUGAGCAUCAGCAUCUGAAUCAUUCCUUUGGCAAGAUCGAUAGUUGCUAACUGAUCCUGAUCUCUGUGGAGUAGCAGUCCCUGAUUUGGCUUCAGUAAUUUCAUCUGGGUAAAAAAAAAUUUCAAUUUAUUAUAAUCCAUUACACCCCAUAAUUUUUAUUCUUUUAAGUUUUGUUUAUUUUGAGAGAGAGCGCGCGCACGCAUGAGGGAGGGGAGGAGGGGCAGAGAGAGAGGGAGAGAGAAUCCCAAGCAGGCCCCAUGCUGCCAGUGCAGACUCAGCCCAACACAGGGCUCAAUCUCACAAACCGUGAGAUCAUGACCUGAGCAGAAAUCAAGAGUUGGAUGCUUAACCGACUGAUCCACCCAGGUGCGCUCCCACCCGCCAACAAAAGUUGAAUAAAUAGUAUUUAAUUUGCUUCUUUGAGUGAGACCACUGACCACCUAUCAAGAGCACAUUUAUUUUGAAAACGUUCUAAAAUAGAGGUGAUGAAUCUGUGUUAAACCAUUUGUCUUCUUUACAUACAGUACGUAUUCUCCUCAUGCCUAAUCAACAUUGGGUAUAGCACAUAGCUACUCAUCAGUAUGUAGCUACUCAUCAGACUUACACUCCAAAAUUAAUAGCCCAAUAAACUAAUAACAUGGGGCUCAAUAAACAUCCUUCCCUAGCAAUAAAAAUUCAUUUCUCUAUAUUAAAAUCAUAGAAUAAAUGCACUUAAAAUUUGGGAGAAAUCUUGGAAACCACCUCAUCCAAUGUUCAUUCUAUUGAUAAGAAAACAUAAACCUCAAAAAGUGUAGUGACUUGCCAUAGGUAAUAAA